rnacentral:rRNA from 1 species
AGGACGAACGCUGGCGGCGUGCUUAACACAUGCAAGUCGAGCGGAAAGGCCCUUCGGGGUACUCGAGCGGCGAACGGGUGAGUAACACGUGAGCAAUCUGCCCUUAGCUCCGGGAUAGCUCCGGGAAACCGGAAUUAAUACCGGAUAUGACUAUGGCCGACAUCAGCCAUGGUGGAAAGUUUUUCGGCUAGGGAUGAGCUCGCGGCCUAUCAGCUAGUUGGUGGGGCAACGGCCCACCAAGGCGACGACGGGUA